rnacentral:rRNA from 1 species
CCCUUAGAUGUCCUGGGCCGCACGCGCGCUACACUGAGUGUCUGAGAUACGAGUCUGCCUGGUCCGGCAAGGUCUAGGUAAUCGCUAAAAGACACAUCAUGCUUGGGAUAGAUUAUUGCAAAUAUUAAUCUUGAACGAGGAAUUCCUAGUAAGCGCAAGUCAACAGCUUGCGUUGAUUACGUCCCUGCCCUUUGUACACACCGCCCGUCGCGACUACUGAUUGGAUGUUUAAGCGAGGUUCUCGAACUGCUAGCGACUUAGCUUCGGUGAGGUCGCAGUGUGGGAAGUGAACCUAGCUUUGGUGUCUAGAGGAAGUAAAAGUCGUAACA